rnacentral:misc_RNA from 1 species
UCUCCGUUGGUGAACCAGCGGAGGGAUCAUUACCGAGUUUACAACUCCCAAACCCCUGUGAACAUACCAUUUGUUGCCUCGGCGGUGCCUGCUUCGGCAGCCCGCCAGAGGACCCAAACCCUUGAUUUUAUACAGUAUCUUCUGAGUAAAUGCUUAAAUAAAUCAAGACUUUCAACAACGGAUCUCUUGGUUCUG